rnacentral:misc_RNA from 1 species
AAAGUCGUAACAAGGUUUCCGUAGGUGAACCUGCGGAAGGAUCAUUAAAUAUCGGUAGUUUACUGCCGUUUGAGGGAGGUGGAAACUGUGCGGCUAAUAGCUGUACAGAAGUACACUUCUUUUCUUAACCCUUGACUUUUUGCGCACUUGUGUUUCCUCGGCAGGCUUGCCUGCCGGUUGGACAAUCCAAUAACCUUUUUAAUUUUCAAUCAGCGUCUGAAUUAUUUUAAUAAUUACAACUUUCAACAACGGAUCUCUUGGUUCUG